CAUGUGAUACUUUUAGUUUUGCGGAACGGGUUAUUGUUUCUCUUGAUUUGGAGAAUGAGUUGUAUCAAAAGUUAUUGUUUCUCUUGAUUUGGAGAAUGAGUUGUAUCAAAAGCUUUCACUGCCUUUUUAUGAUACGCCGUUUGAAGUCUCCAUUACCUUGGGGGUGUUGAGGGGUUGUUUGUCCUUCCUUUCUUAUGGUGACAAGUUUUCUAAUGUUUGGAUUAUGAAGGAAUAUGGGAAUGAAAAGUCUUGGACCAAAUUGUUUAGUGUUCC
rnacentral:lncRNA from 1 species